rnacentral:rRNA from 1 species
UACGGAGGAUGCAAGCGUUAUCCGGAAUCAUUGGGCGUAAAACGUCCGCAGGUGGCAGUUCAAGUCUGCUGUCAAAGACUGGGGCUUAACCCUAGAAAGGCAGUGGAAACUGAACAGCUAGAGUGCGGUAGGGGUAGAGGGAAUUCCCGGUGUAGCGGUGAAAUGCGUAGGGAUCGGGAAGAACACCAGUGGCGAAAGCGCUCUGCUGGACCUGCACUGACACUGAGGGACGAAAGCUAGGGGAGCGAAUGGG